AUGAACGCUAGCUACAGGCUUAACACAUGCAAGUCGAGGGGCAGCAUGAACUUAGCUUGCUAAGUUUGAUGGCGACCGGCGCACGGGUGAGUAACACGUAUCCAACCUGCCGAUGACUCGGGGAUAGCCUUUCGAAAGAAAGAUUAAUACCCGAUGGCAUAAUUCUUCCGCAUGGUAGAAUUAUUAAAGAAUUUCGGUCAUCGAUGGGGAUGCGUUCCAUUAGGUUGUUGGCGGGGUAACGGCCCACCAAGCCUUCGAUGGAUAGGGGUUCUGAGAGGAAGGUCCCCCACAUUGGAACUGAGACACGGUCCAAACUCCUACGGGAGGCAGCAGUGAGGAAUAUUGGUCAAUGGACGAGAGUCUGAACCAGCCAAGUAGCGUGAAGGAUGACUGCCCUAUGGGUUGUAAACUUCUUUUAUACGGGAAUAAAGUGAGGCACGUGUGCCUUUUUGUAUGUACCGUAUGAAUAAGGAUCGGCUAACUCCGUGCCAGCAGCCGCGGUAAUACGGAGGAUCCGAGCGUUAUCCGGAUUUAUUGGGUUUAAAGGGAGCGUAGGCGGACGCUUAAGUCAGUUGUGAAAGUUUGCGGCUCAACCGUAAAAUUGCAGUUGAUACUGGGUGUCUUGAGUACAGUAGAGGCAGGCGGAAUUCGUGGUGUAGCGGUGAAAUGCUUAGAUAUCACGAAGAACUCCGAUUGCGAAGGCAGCCUGCUGGACUGUAACUGACGCUGAUGCUCGAAAGUGUGGGUAUCAAACAGGAUUAGAUACCCUGGUAGUCCACACAGUAAACGAUGAAUACUCGCUGUUUGCGAUAUACAGUAAGCGGCCAAGCGAAAGCGUUAAGUAUUCCACCUGGGGAGUACGCCGGCAACGGUGAAACUCAAAGGAAUUGACGGGGGCCCGCACAAGCGGAGGAACAUGUGGUUUAAUUCGAUGAUACGCGAGGAACCUUACCUAGAUUUGACAUCCUCGGCGAAGCUAUAGAAAUAUAGCGGAGGUUAUCCGAGUGACAGGUGGUGCAUGGUUGUCGUCAGCUCGUGCCGUGAGGUGUCGGCUUAAGUGCCAUAACGAGCGCAACCCUUAUCGAUAGUUACCAUCAGGUUAUGCUGGGGACUCUGUCGAGACUGCCGUCGUAAGAUGUGAGGAAGGUGGGGAUGACGUCAAAUCAGCACGGCCCUUACGUCCGGGGCUACACACGUGUUACAAUGGGGGGUACAGAAGGCAGCUACACGGCGACGUGAUGCUAAUCCCUAAAGCCUCUCUCAGUUCGGAUUGGAGUCUGCAACCCGACUCCAUGAAGCUGGAUUCGCUAGUAAUCGCGCAUCAGCCACGGCGCGGUGAAUACGUUCCCGGGCCUUGUACACACCGCCCGUCAAGCCAUGAAAGCCGGGGGUACCUGAAGUGCGUAACCGCGAGGAGCGCCCUAGGGUAAAACUGGUGAUUGGGGCU
rnacentral:rRNA from 1 species